rnacentral:rRNA from 1 species
UACGUAGGCGGAAAAUUAAGUCAGUAGUGAAAUCCCGCAGCUUAACUGUGGAACUGUUAUUGAUACUGGUUUUCUUGAAUAUAGUUGAGGUAGGCGGAAUGUGUAAUGUAGCGGUGAAAUGCUUAGAUAUUACACAGAACACCGAUUGCGAAGGCAGCUUACUAAGCUAUGAUUGACGCUGGGGUACGAAAGCGUGGGGAGCGAACAGGAUUAGAUACCCUGGUAGUCC